rnacentral:tRNA from 3 species
ACUAUUUUAGUAUAAAUAGAUUAUACUAGCUUUUCGUGCUAAAGAUACUAAUUUAUGUUUAGUAAGUAGUU